rnacentral:tRNA from 1 species
AAUAUAUUGUUUCGGAGACACUAGUUCUUGAAAAACUAAAUAAGAUGUUCAACUCAUCUAUAUAUUU